UACGAAGGGGGCUAGCGUUGCUCGGAAUUACUGGGCGUAAAGCGCAAGCAUAGGCGGUCUUUUAAGUCGGGGGUGAAAUCCAUGGAGCUCAACUCCAAGAACUGCCUUCGAUACUGGAAGACUUUGAAGUCCGGGAGAGGUGAGUGGAACUGCGAGUGUAGAGGUGAAAUUCGUAGAUAUCGGGAGAACACCGGUGGCGAAGGCGGGCGACCUGGGUAGAUACUGACGCUGAGGUGCGAAAGCGUGGGGAGCAAACAGGG
rnacentral:rRNA from 1 species